rnacentral:rRNA from 1 species
ACUUUAUACUGUGAAACUGCGAAUGGCUCAUUAAAUCAGUUAUCGUUUAUUUGAUAGUACCUUACUACAUGGAUACCUGUGGUAAUUCUAGAGCUAAUACAUGCUAAAAACCCCGACUUCAGGAAGGGGUGUAUUUAUUAGAUAAAAAACCAACGCCCUUCGGGGCUCCUUGGUGAAUCAUAAUAACUUAACGAAUCGCAUGGCCUUGCGCCGGCGAUGGUUCAUUCAAAUUUCUGCCCUAUCAACUUUCGAUGGUAGGAUAGUGGCCUACCAUGGUGGCAACGGGUAACGGGGAAUUAGGGUUCGAUUCCGGAGAGGGAGCCUGAGAAACGGCUACCACAUCCAAGGAAGGCAGCAGGCGCGCAAAUUACCCAAUCCCGAUACGGGGAGGUAGUGACAAUAAAUACUGAUACGGGGCUCUUUUGGGUCUCGUAAUUGGAAUGAGAACAAUUUAAAUCCCUUAACGAGGAACAAUUGGAGGGCAAGUCUGGUGCCAGCAGCCGCGGUAAUUCCAGCUCCAAUAGCGUAUAUUAAAGUUGUUGCAGUUAAAAAGCUCGUAGUUGAACCUUGGGUCUGGCUGGCCGGUCCGCCUCACCGCGAGUACUGGUCCGGCUGGACCUUUCCUUCUGGGGAACCUCAUGGCCUUCACUGGCUGUGGGGGGAACCAGGACUUUUACUGUGAAAAAAUUAGAGUGUUCAAAGCAGGCCUUUGCUCGAAUACAUUAGCAUGGAAUAAUAGAAUAGGACGUGUGGUUCUAUUUUGUUGGUUUCUAGGACCGCCGUAAUGAUUAAUAGGGAUAGUCGGGGGCGUCAGUAUUCAGCUGUCAGAGGUGAAAUUCUUGGAUUUGCUGAAGACUAACUACUGCGAAAGCAUUCGCCAAGGAUGUUUUCAUUAAUCAGGGAACGAAAGUUAGGGGAUCGAAGACGAUCAGAUACCGUCGUAGUCUUAACCAUAAACUAUGCCGACUAGGGAUCGGACGGGCUUCUAUGAUGACCCGUUCGGCACCUUACGAGAAAUCAAAGUUUUUGGGUUCUGGGGGGG